rnacentral:lncRNA from 1 species
CUGUUCCUAUUCAGCCAUCUUGCCAGCAGGUAUUUCUUUAUAGCAACACAAGAACAGCCUAAUACAAUUUCCAGUAUCAACGGGCUGUUACAAGUUCCCCCUACCCCUUCCCAGUGGGAUGGAGACAGUGGAGUGUCUAAACUUUCAACAUCGUCCAGAAGUAAAGAGGCCACUCGCUCCCUCUUCCCUCUGGUGUCAAUGGAGGCCAUGUGGAGAACAGUAAUGAGACACUCCUAUUCUUUCCAACUAGGAUGGGAUCAGCAGAGGCCUAGUGGGGAGCCAAAACUCCUAGUCCCACCAUGCAGUAACAAGGAGGCCCCCAUCCCUGGUGCCAGUAAAGGCUGAGUGGGAACCUAGACUUCUACCUCCAGUUGGUAGUAACAGGGGAAGUGCCUCCCUGCGCUGCCUCUUUUAGAGCAGUGUCAGAGAAAGCCAGCUAAAACAGAAAGUCAAAGUAAUAUCCAGACUCUCAUAAUAUCCAAAAUGUCCAGGUUUUAAUAGAAAAUCACUCAUUAUGCCAAGAUCCAGAAACAUCUCAAUUUGAAAGAAAAAAAAGACAAUUAAUAGAUGCCAAAGUCAAGAUGACAGAGAUGUUGGAAUUAUCUAACAAAGAUUUUACAGCAGUUCCUCUACCAAAGUACCUCAGUGAGCAAUUAUGAAUGUACUUGAAACAAACAGAAAAGUAGAAAUUCUUAGCAGAAAAGUAGAAAGUCUCAGUAAAGAAAAAAAAAUCAAAGAAGAACCAAAGGAAAUUUUUAGUACUGGAAAAUAUAAUAACUGAAAUAAAAACUCAGCAAAUGGGUUCAUUAGCUGAUUGGAGAAGACAGAGAAAAGAAUCAGUGAACUUGGAGAACAAUACAAUAUACUUGAGCUGAAAACAGAGACAGUAGACUGAGGGAAAAAAAAUGACAGAGCCUUACGGACCUGUGGGACUAAAACAAAAGACAUAACUUGGUGUCAUCAUAGUCCUGGAAGAAGGGGAAAAAGAGGGCAGGACUGAAAAAGUACAAAAAGAAAUAAUGGCUAGAAACUUCCCAAAUGUGGCAAGAGACAUAAACCUACAUAUAUUCAAGAAGAUGCUGAGUGAACUCCAAACCAAAGAAAUCCACACUAAAAUCCAUAAUAGUAACACUUCUGAAAACUAAAGUCAAAGAAACAAAAAUUUAAAGCAGUGAGAGAGAAACAAUAUGUUAACCAAUAUGAGAAAAUAAUUUGAGAGUAGAUUUCUCAUUGAAAACUAUUAUCGUCAGAAGGCAUUGACACAGCAUUUUGAAAUGCUGAAAGAAAAGAACUACCAGAAUUCUAUUUCCAGUGAAAUAAUUUCCUAAGAAUGAAGGGGAAAUCAACACAUUCUCAGAUGAAGUAAAGUAGGACUUUUUUUUUCCAGCAGUUCUACCCUAGAAGGAUGAGUAAAGGAAGUUCUCUAAACAGAAAAGAUUAGAAAAAAGAAUUCUUGGAGCACUAGGAAGAAAGAACAUAAUAAACAAAACUAUGGCUACAUACAAUAGAUUUUCCUUCUCCUCUUGCGUUUUCUAGAUUGUGUUUGAUGAUUGAUGCUAGAAUUAUAACACUGUCUGAUGUGGCUCUAAAUGCUGGUAGAGGAAAUAUUUAAGAAAAUUACAGAUAGAGGAGUUAAAGUGGAUAUAAAGGGAGGUAAGGUUUUCAUGUGUAACUCUAAUUGGAACAAUUUCCAUUCUAGGAGACCGUGCUAAUGGUACUGGUAUCAUGUACUAUCUACAGAAAUGACUAAAAAAGGUAUACAAAGCGAUUCACUCAAAAAACAGUAUAGACACAUCAAAAUAGAAUUCUAAAAAAUGUUGUUACCCAUAGGAAGGCAGGUACAAACAGAAAGAACAAAAAGAAAACAAAAAAAUAAAGUGGCAGACUUAAAUCCUAAGAUAUCAGUAACUGUAAGUGGUCUAAAUGUACCAACUGAAAGGCAGAGAUUGGCAGGUGGUUUAAAAAUAUGACUCAAUGAUAUAUUGUCUACGAGAAAUGUUUUUCCAAUAUGAUGAUAUUGGUAGGUUGAAAGUAAAGUAUGAAAAAUAUAUAUCAUGCAUAUAUUAGUUGGGAGGAACCAGGAGUGGCUAUAUCAAUACCAGAUAAGGUAGACUUCAGAGCAAAGAAAAUUACCAGAGAUGGCUGGGUGCGGUGGCUCACGCCUGUAAUCCCAGCACUUUGGGAGGCUGAGGCGGG